rnacentral:rRNA from 1 species
CUCAGGACGAACGCUGGCGGCGUGCCUAAUACAUGCAAGUCGAACGCUUCUUUUUCAUCGAACUUCGGUUCACCGGAAAAGAAGAGUGGCGAACGGGUGAGUAACACGUGGGUAACCUACCCAUCAGCGGGGGAUAACACUUGGAAACAGGUGCUAAUACCGCAUAAUCUUUUUCUCCGCCUGGAGAAAGAGUGAAAGGCGCUUUUGCGUCACUGAUGGAUGGACCCGCGCUGCAUUAGCUAGUUGGUGAGGUAACGGCUCACCAAGGCCACGAUGCAUAGCCGACCUGAGAGGGUGAUCGGCCACACUGGGACUGAGACACGGCCCAGACUCCUACGGGAGGCAGCAGUAGGGAAUCUUCGGCAAUGGACGAAAGUCUGACCGAGCAACGCCGCGUGAGUGAAGAAGGUUUUCGGAUCGUAAAACUCUGUUGUUAGAGAAGAAUAAGGAUGAGAGUAAAAAGUUCAUCCCUGAC